UACGUAGGGGGCAAGCGUUGUCCGGAUUUAUUGGGCGUAAAGAGCGUGUAGGCGGCUUGGUAGGUCCGCUGUGAAAACUCGAGGCUCAACCUCGAGAUGUCGGCGGAAACCACUUGGCUAGAGUCCGGAAGAGGAGAGUGGAAUUCCCGGUGUAGCGGUGAAAUGCGCAGAUAUCAGGUGGAACACCGAUGGCGAAGGCAGUGGUCUGGGCCGGCACUGACGCUGAAUAGCGAAAGCGUGGGUAGCGAACAGG
rnacentral:rRNA from 1 species